rnacentral:rRNA from 1 species
UACGAAGGGGGCUAGCGUUGCUCGGAAUCACUGGGCGUAAAGCGCACGUAGGCGGAUUGUUAAGUCAGGGGUGAAAUCCUGGAGCUCAACUCCAGAACUGCCUUUGAUACUGGCAAUCUAGAGUCCGGAAGAGGUGAGUGGAACUCCUAGUGUAGAGGUGGAAUUCGUAGAUAUUAGGAAGAACACCAGUGGCGAAGGCGGCUCACUGGUCCGGUACUGACGCUGAGGUGCGAAAGCGUUGGGGAGCAAAGCAGG